GGGUAGUCGUGUCCGGAACGGAUAAGCGCUGAAAGCAUCUAAGCGCCAAGCCGCCUCCAAGAUAAGGUUUCCCGGGGCGCAAGCCCCCUGAAGGCCUCUGGUAGACUACCAGGUUGAUAGGCUGGACGUGGAAGACCCGUGAGGGUUUCAGCGAACCAGUACUAAUCGGCCGUGCGGCUUAACUAC
rnacentral:rRNA from 1 species